GCAGUACCGUGAGGGAAAGGUGAAAAGGACCCCGGGAGGGGAGUGAAAGAGAACCUGAAACCUUGUGCUUACAAGCAGUCAGAGCGCGUUAAAGCGUGAUGGCGUACUUUUUGUAGAACGGUCCGGCGAGUUAUAGUAACGAGCAAGCUUAAGGUAUUCAGUACCGGAGGCGCAGCGAAAGCGAGUCUGAAAAGGGCGCAUGAAGUUCGUUGCCAUAGACCCGAAACCGGGUGACCUACGCAUGAGCAGGUUGAAGUGGGGGUGAAACCCCAUGGAGGACCGAACCGACCCCCGUUGCAAUGGUGGCGGAUGACUUGUGUGUAGCGGUGAAAUUCCAAUCGAACUCGGAGAUAGCUGGUUCUCCCCGAAAUAGCUUUAGGGCUAGCGUUGUGUUAGAUUACCGGAGGUAAAGCACUGAAUGGUUUAGGGGCUGAUAAAGUUACCGACGCCUAUCAAACUCUGAAUGCCGGAUAAUUGAUGCACAGCAGUCAGACAGUGUGAGAUAAGUUUCAUUGUCAAAAGGGAAACAGCCCAGACCUACAGCUAAGGUCCCAAAUGUAUGCUAAGUGGAAAACGAUGUGGAAUUGCGAAAACAACCAGGAUGUUGGCUCAGAAGCAGCCACACAUUAAAAGAGUGCGUAAUAGCUCACUGGUCGAGUGACUCUGCGCGGAAAAUGUAACGGGGCUAAGCAUACAACCGAAGCUUAGGAUUGUCAAAAGACAGUGGUAGGGGAGCGUUCUGUACGGGGCGAAGUCGCAGCGGGAGCAGCGGUGGACUGUACAGAAGUGAGAAUGCCGGAAUGAGUAGCGAGAAUUAUGUGGGAAUCAUAAUGGCCGAAAAUCUAAGGUUUCUUGGGGAAGGUUCGUCCGCCCAAGGUAAGUCGGGAGCUAAGCUGAGGCCGAGAGGCGUAGGCGAUGCACAUACGGUAGAAAUUCCGUAACCACCGAACUUUAAGCAUGAGGGACACUUUGAGAUAGCGGGACCCGGGCGUUGGUAGACCCGGGCGAAAGGGACCGAAAUAUAGUAGGGAAGUCCGCGAUGCUCGGAGGCGAGAAAAGCUCAUGUGUAUACUAAGGUGCCCGUACCGCAAACCGACACAGGUAGAUGAGGAGAGAAUCCUAAGGCCAACGGGAGAAGGGUUGUUAAGGAACUCGGCAAGAUGACCCCGUAACUUCGGAAGAAGGGGAGCCUCGAAAGAGGCCGCAGUGAAUAGGCCCAAGCAACUGUUUACCAAAAACACAGGUUUAUGCUAAAUCGAAAGAUGACGUAUAUGAGCUGACGCCUGCCCGGUGCCGGAAGGUUAAGAGGAGAUGUGAGCCGCAAGGUGAAGCAUUGAAUUGAAGCCCCGGUAAACGGCGGCCGUAACUAUAACGGUCCUAAGGUAGCGAAAUUCCUUGUCAGGUAAGUUCUGACCCGCACGAAAGG
rnacentral:rRNA from 1 species